rnacentral:rRNA from 1 species
GCGUUAACGAACGAGACCUCGACCUGCUAAAUAGUUCAACGAAUGCCUGCAUUCGUAUGAUGCUUCUUAGAGGGACUAUCGCUCGUGUAGGCGAUGGAAGUUCGAGGCAAUAACAGGUCUGUGAUGCCCUUAGAUGUUCUGGGCCGCACGCGCGCUACACUGAUACGUUCAUCGAGUUUAUCACCUUGACUGGAAGGUCUGGGUAAUCUUUUAAAUCGUAUCGUGCUGGGGAUAGAUCAUUGUAAUUAUUGAUCUUCAACGAGGAAUUCCUAGUAAACGCGAGUCAUCAGCUCGCAUUGAUUACGUCCCUGCCCUUUGUACACACCGCCCGUCGCUAAUACCGAUUGAAUGGAUA